UACAGAGGGGGCAAGCGUUGUUCGGAAUUACUGGGCGUAAAGGGCGCGUAGGCGGCCUGCUAAGUCGAACGUGAAAUCCCCGAGCUCAACUCGGGAACUGCGUCCGAUACUGACAGGCUUGAAUCCGGGAGAGGGAUGCGGAAUUCCAGGUGUAGCGGUGAAAUUCGUAGAUAUCGGGAGGAACACCGGUGGCGAAGGCGGCGACCUGGGUAGAUACUGACGCUGAGGUGCGAAAGCGUGGGGAGCAAACAGG
rnacentral:rRNA from 1 species